UAAAAAUGUGUAGAACAGGUAUCGCAUACAUAUUCACGUGUUCUAUACAUCUUUACA
rnacentral:pre_miRNA from 1 species